rnacentral:rRNA from 1 species
CCUAGGUAUCUUGUACUGAAUCCAUAGGUGCAAGAGGCGAACCAGGGGAACUGAAACAUCUAAGUACCCUGAGGAAAAGAAAUCAACCGAGAUUCCCUUAGUAGUGGCGAGCGAACGGGGAUUAGCCCUUAAGCUUCAUUGAUUUUAGCGGAACGCUCUGGAAAGUGCGGCCAUAGUGGGUGAUAGCCCCGUACGCGAAAGGAUCUUUGAAGUGAAAUCGAGUAGGACGGAGCACGAGAAACUUUGUCUGAACAUGGGGGGACCAUCCUCCAAGGCUAAAUACUACUGACUGACCGAUAGUGAACCAGUACCGUGAGGGAAAGGCGAAAAGAACCCCGGAGAGGGGAGUGAAAUAGAACCUGAAACCGUAUGCGUACAAGCAGUGGGAGCCUACUUGUUAGGUGACUGCGUACCUUUUGUAUAAUGGGUCAGCGACUUAUAUUCAGUGGCAAGCUUAACCGUAUAGGGUAGGCGUAGCGAAAGCGAGUCUUAAUAGGGCGUUUAGUCGCUGGGUAUAGACCCGAAACCGGGCGAUCUAUCCAUGAGCAGGUUGAAGGUUAGGUAACACUGACUGGAGGACCGAACCCACUCCCGUUGAAAAGGUAGGGGAUGACUUGUGGAUCGGAGUGAAAGGCUAAUCAAGCUCGGAGAUAGCUGGUUCUCCUCGAAAGCUAUUUAGGUAGCGCCUCAUGUAUCACUCUGGGGGGUAGAGCACUGUUUCGGCUAGGGGGUCAUCCCGACUUACCAAACCGAUGCAAACUCCGAAUACCCAGAAGUGCCGAGCAUGGGAGACACACGGCGGGUGCUAACGUCCGUCGUGAAAAGGGAAACAACCCAGACCGCCAGCUAAGGUCCCAAAGUUGUGGUUAAGUGGUAAACGAUGUGGGAAGGCUUAGACAGCUAGGAGGUUGGCUUAGAAGCAGCCACCCUUUAAAGAAAGCGUAAUAGCUCACUAGUCGAGUCGGCCUGCGCGGAAGAUGUAACGGGGCUCAAACCACACACCGAAGCUGCGGGUGUCACGUAAGUGACGCGGUAGAGGAGCGUUCUGUAAGCCUGUGAAGGUGAGUUGAGAAGCUUGCUGGAGGUAUCAGAAGUGCGAAUGCUGACAUGAGUAACGACAAUGGGUGUGAAAAACACCCACGCCGAAAGACCAAGGGUUCCUGCGCAACGUUAAUCGACGCAGGGUUAGUCGGUUCCUAAGGCGAGGCUGAAAAGCGUAGUCGAUGGGAAACAGGUUAAUAUUCCUGUACUUCUGGUUACUGCGAUGGAGGGACGGAGAAGGCUAGGCCAGCUUGGCGUUGGUUGUCCAAGUUUAAGGUGGUAGGCUGAAAUCUUAGGUAAAUCCGGGGUUUCAAGGCCGAGAGCUGAUGACGAGUCGUCUUUUAGAUGACGAAGUGGUUGAUGCCAUGCUUCCAAGAAAAGCUUCUAAGCUUCAGGUAACCAGGAACCGUACCCCAAACCGACACAGGUGGUCGGGUAGAGAAUACCAAGGCGCUUGAGAGAACUCGGGUGAAGGAACUAGGCAAAAUGGCACCGUAACUUCGGGAGAAGGUGCGCCGGCUAGGGUGAAGGAUUUACUCCGUAAGCUCUGGCUGGUCGAAGAUACCAGGCCGCUGCGACUGUUUAUUAAAAACACAGCACUCUGCAAACACGAAAGUGGACGUAUAGGGUGUGACGCCUGCCCGGUGCCGGAAGGUUAAUUGAUGGGGUUAGCGCAAGCGAAGCUCUUGAUCGAAGCCCCGGUAAACGGCGGCCGUAACUAUAACGGUCCUAAGGUAGCGAAAUUCCUUGUCGGGUAAGUUCCGACCUGCACGAAUGGCGUAACGAUGGCGGCGCUGUCUCCACCCGAGACUCAGUGAAAUUGAAAUCGCUGUGAAGAUGCAGUGUAUCCGCGGCUAGACGGAAAGACCCCGUGAACCUUUACUGUAGCUUUGCACUGGACUUUGAGCCUGCUUGUGUAGGAUAGGUGGGAGGCUUUGAAGCGUGGACGCCAGUUCGCGUGGAGCCAUCCUUGAAAUACCACCCUGGCAUGCUUGAGGUUCUAACUCUGGUCCGUAAUCCGGAUCGAGGACAGUGUAUGGUGGGCAGUUUGACUGGGGCGGUCUCCUCCUAAAGAGUAACGGAGGAGUACGAAGGUGCGCUCAGACCGGUCGGAAAUCGGUCGUAGAGUAUAAAGGCAAAAGCGCGCUUGACUGCGAGACAGACACGUCGAGCAGGUACGAAAGUAGGUCUUAGUGAUCCGGUGGUUCUGUAUGGAAGGGCCAUCGCUCAACGGAUAAAAGGUACUCCGGGGAUAACAGGCUGAUACCGCCCAAGAGUUCAUAUCGACGGCGGUGUUUGGCACCUCGAUGUCGGCUCAUCACAUCCUGGGGCUGAAGCCGGUCCCAAGGGUAUGGCUGUUCGCCAUUUAAAGUGGUACGCGAGCUGGGUUUAGAACGUCGUGAGACAGUUCGGUCCCUAUCUGCCGUGGACGUUUGAGAUUUGAGAGGGGCUGCUCCUAGUACGAGAGGACCGGAGUGGACGAACCUCUGGUGUUCCGGUUGUCACGCCAGUGGCAUUGCCGGGUAGCUAUGUUCGGAAAAGAUAACCGCUGAAAGCAUCUAAGCGGGAAACUUGCCUCAAGAUGAGAUCUCACUGGGAACUUGAUUCCCCUGAAGGGCCGUCGAAGACUACGACGUUGAUAGGCUGGGUGUGUAAGCGUUGUGAGGCGUUGAGCUAACCAGUACUAAUUGCCCGUGAGGCUUGACCAU